UCCUGGUUAGCUCAAUUGGUAGAGCGACCGCCCCAGAUAGGCGUUGGUCCCGGGUUCGAUCCCCGGACCAGGAC
rnacentral:tRNA from 1 species